CAGCCGCCGCGGUAAAACGGAGGGGGCUAGCGUUGUUCGGAAUUACUGGGCGUAAAGCGCACGUAGGCGGCUUGGUAAGUUAGAGGUGAAAGCCUGGAGCUCAACCCCAGAAUUGCCUUUAAGACUGCCGAGCUAGCAGGUGAGAGAGGUAAGUGGAAUUCCGAGUGUAGAGGUGAAAUUCGUAGAUAUUCGGAAGAACACCAGUGGCGAAGGCGACUCUCUGGUCUGUAACUGACGCUGAGGAGCGAAAGCGUGGGGAGCGAACAGGAUUAGAUACCCCUGUAGUCCCUGUCUCUUAUAC
rnacentral:rRNA from 1 species